GGGCCUGUAGUCUAAUGGUAGAAUUCGUCCUUUGCAAGGAUGGGGUCCGGGUUCGAUUCCCGGCAGGUCCA
rnacentral:tRNA from 1 species